CCAUCCGAUGAAAGAAGCAGGACAAUGGAACAUAUCCAUUGAUUUUUUGUCAACUCCAAAUUUUGACCUUUAGUUAAGCGUGCUUGGGGGAGAGUAGUACUAGGACGGGUGACCUCCCGGGAAGUCCUCGUGUUGCAUCCC
rfam:Arabidopsis thaliana chromosome 5, complete sequence.